GAAUGUCUACCAUUAUGGAAGUUCUGAACAAUCUCUAUAGCCAGAGAUGUCGGAAUAACUUUUCUUCCAUCUUCUAACUGAUACCAAUUAUUCUCAAAGUAUUUCCCAGCUUCAUUCUUCAACCACUCCAUCUCUUGGGUUGUAUAUAUCGGAGUCCAUUGAGACAGAGGUGCCGGCACAAGGGCAGCAAUAUACCCCACAUAUUCCUCUUGUCCGGAUUCAGC